GGAUAUUAGUUCCAUGACACAGUACUUUACCUGAGGGUCAAUACUAACAUGUCAAUAUAAAAUAAAAUAUAAUAUGAAAUUAUUUAUUUACCAUUCUCAUGUGUGAGAAUUUUUUCCCAUGGAGGCAAUAUACAAACAUCUACCUACCCAAGAUAAGGAGCCCAUGACACACCAAUGUACAGAUACCACCAAAUUCCAACUUGAUGAACCUUUAGUUGUGCCCAGACUGGAAAAAAAAAACCAACAAAAAUCGAAGAGACCACCAGGAACCACAACUCCAAUGCAAGCCCGUGAAAGUCUUUAUUCAAGCUCCAGAUUGGGCCACAAAUUUUUCUGAUGGAAUAGGAAGGAGAGUGACACUCAGAUCUAGGGGCUUAGGGUUUAUAUAGGGAAAAAAUUGCAAGCUGUGGCAUUCAAGCCUUGGCAUGACAUGAUUGGGUAAAUGAGUAAAGGAAUGUUAACAUUCAAAUUGAUAUCAUCAGAGAAAUAACACACAUCCAAAAUGGGGCAGUGUAUCUUGGGAAUGAUUCAUGUUUUUUUUAACUUAUGUUGCUAUGGUGACCAUCUUUUCCUGUUGCUACAAGCUGGCCAUAGAUGUUAUGUCUAUUUAAGUCUGCUUGGAAUGCUUUGUGGUUUCUUUCCCAGAGCCCAAGAAUUACUCCAAGCACAGCAGCUUUCUCCAAGGACAGCAGUUUUCUCCAUGGACAAGAGCUUAAAGUAGAGUGUAGAGUACAAGAUGGAAUAGGUCUUCCUGCCUUUUGUCUCUUCAGAAUUUUAUUAAUCUUAUUAAUUUUAUUAAUUUCAGAAACAUGAAGGAAUGAUUUCUUAUAGGAGAAGAAAUGACUCAUAGACAGCUACAUCCCCAAAGCCUACCCAUUAUGGCUGACAGCUCACAAAACACAGAUGAGCAUAUUACAUAACUGGUAGGCAGAACAAUAGGUUGAAGAAUGUCUUUAUUUUUUCCCCAAGUGACUCAGCUGUCUUAAGUACCUUCCAGGUGCUGGGUAGGAUCCUGCUUCGUCUGGGAAGUUGGUAUGAUGUCAUUUUUCUUUUUUGCAUCUAGGGUGGUCUGAGCUCCUUCCUUUCAACUUUGCUUGUCUGAGUGAUUCUCAGCAAUCCAACUAUCUUGGUUACUCUGGUAGGGAGGAGCCUGCUGAAUCUGCUCAGUUUCAGGGACUCCCUGAAGCUAUUUUGAGUUGUUUACCUCCCUGCUUAAGGGGCUUCCCAGAAGGAUGGAGUAUUUUAAUCUCAAAGAGACUGUUACCCAAAAAAUUCCCAUGGACCUUCAAUGUCUCCAGGCCAGACAGGAAAUGUGAAUCAGAGGAGAGGAAAUGGAGUGACUGAGAUGGCAAUGUGAACUGAUAUGAUCAUAUAGUGUUAUAUUACACACACAGACACACACACACACACACACACACACACACACACGGGUAUAACAGACAUAAUUUAGGGGCUGACACACUCUGUAUAAAUACACUCAGGAAUGAUUUUUUUUUUCACUUUAAGACAGUAUUAUGGUAUACUUAUUAAAUAAUUUGAAUAAAAGAAGCAAAUAUACAUAACCAAGAUAGAACAAAUCAAACAAUAAUUAUAGCUGGUUGUAUUAUGGCAUUCAUUAUUUCCACUGGGAAAGAGCACACACUUAGACUCAAUUCAAGUUUAGAUUAAAUUAAUUUAUUCUUACUGAUAGCAGCACAGAAAGGGGUUAAGGGGAGCGUUUAUAGAAUUGGAUACCAAAAGGUGUGCAUUACAAUUAUCUAUGGAAUCUACAGCUGAACAAAAGAAAGCAUUUUAGUCUCCUCAAUUGUUCAUCUUUACCAUUGUACACUAGUAAAACGACCACUUCAUUCCUGUCUAACAAAAGCAAAAAACAAACUGUUAAAUAUCUUACAACAGGAAUUCCAGCAUCCCAAACUUGUUUUCUUUAGUUUUGUUUAUUUUUCUUUUUACUUAUUCUUCUCUCUUACAAUAUAACCCAACUGCAGCCUCUCUUCCCUCAACUCCUCCAAUUUCCCACCAUCCCUUCUCCACCAGACUCACUUCUCCUCCCUUCCCCUUCAGAAAAGUGUAUGCUUUUCAUUGAUAUCCACCAAACAUGGCAUAACAUGAUGCAAUAAAACUAGACACAAAUACUUAUUUCAAGGCUGGAUGAAGUAGGAUAAUGUUCUCAAGAGCAGGCAAAAGAAUUAGAGACAUUUCCCAUUCCCCCUAUUAGGAGUCCCACAAAAUGCCCAAGCUAAGCAACAGUAUGUAUGCAGAGAACUGAGCACAGACACAUGCAGGCUCUUUGAUUGCAGCUCCAGUCUCUGUAGCCUCUAUGAUUUCUCCUUAGUUGAUUCUGUGGACCAUAUUUCCCUGCUGUCCCCAGUUCACCCACAAAAUUCAUUCUAUUGCCACUUCCCAGGGUGAUCUCCUUCUUACUUAACCCACCUUCUUACUUAGCCUCACUUGGUCUGUGGACUGUAGCAUGAUUAUCCUUUACUUAAUCUUUAAUAACUACUUAAGCAUUCAUAUCAUUUUUGUCUUUCCAGGUCUGAUUGCAUCACUCAGGAUAGUUUCUUUUUUUCUAGUUCCAUCAUUUGCCUGCAAAUUUCAUGAUCACCUUUUUUUUUAACAACUUGUGUCAUAUAUCAUUUUAUAAAUAUACUACAUUUUUAUGCAUUCCUCAGUUGUGGGGCAUCUAGGUUUUUAAGGUAUUCAGCCUCUGGUUGCUGGCCUUCAAGGUAGUGUCAGACAUGGCUCUCUCUCACUGCAUGGCUCUUAAACUGAACCAAUGGGGGGGGGGAUAUAAGGGACUUUUGGGAUAGCAUUUGAAAUGUAUAUGAAGUAAAUACAUAAUAGAACAUUGG
rnacentral:lncRNA from 1 species